rnacentral:rRNA from 1 species
UACGGGGGGGGCAAGCGUUGUUCGGAAUUACUGGGCGUAAAGGGCUCGUAGGCGGCCAACUAAGUCGGAUGUGAAAUCCCCAGGCUUAACCUGGGAACUGCAUCCGAUACUGGAUGGCUUGAAUCCGGGAGAGGGAUGCGGAAUUCCAGGGUGUAGCGGUGAAAUGCGUAGGAUAAUCUGGAGGAACACCGGUGGCGAAGGCGGCAUCCUGGACCGGCAUUGACGCUGAGGAGCGAAAGCCAGGGGAGCAAAACGGGGAAUUAGAUACCCCGUGU